rnacentral:rRNA from 1 species
UGACCUCAAAUCAGGUAGGAUUACCCGCUGAACUUAAGCAUAUCAAUAAGCGGAGGAAAAGAAACUAACAAGGAUUCCCCUAGUAACUGCGAGUGAAGCGGGAAAAGCUCAAAUUUAAAAUCUGGCGGUCCUUCGGCCGUCCGAGUUGUAGUCUGGAGAAGUGCUUUCCGCGCUGGACCGUGUACAAGUCUCUUGGAACAGAGCGUCAUAGAGGGUGAGAAUCCCGUCUUUGACACGGACUACCAGUGCUUUGUGAUGCGCUCUCAAAGAGUCGAGUUGUUUGGGAAUGCAGCUCAAAAUGGGUGGUAAAUUCCAUCUAAAGCUAAAUAUUGGCGAGAGACCGAUAGCGAACAAGUACCGUGAGGGAAAGAUGAAAAGCACUUUGGAAAGAGAGUUAAACAGUACGUGAAAUUGCUGAAAGGGAAACGCUUGAAGUCAGUCGCGUUGGCCAGGACUCAGCCUUGCUUUCGCU